rnacentral:rRNA from 1 species
UACGAAGGGGGCGAGCGUUGUUCGGAAUUACUGGGCGUAAAGGGCGCGUAGGCGGCCUGCUAAGUCGAACGUGAAAUCCCCGGGCUCAACCCGGGAACUGCGUCCGAUACUGGCAGGCUUGAAUCCGGGAGAGGGAUGUGGAAUUCCAGGUGUAGCGGUGAAAUGCGUAGAUAUCUGGAGGAACACCGGUGGCGAAGGCGGCAUCCUGGACCGGUAUUGACGCUGAGGCGCGAAAGCCAGGGGAGCAAACGGG